GCCCCCGUAGCUCAGUAGGAUAGAGCAUCGGUUUCCUAAACCGAGGGCCGCAGGUUCGAAUCCUGCCGGGGGUACCA
rnacentral:tRNA from 1 species